rnacentral:rRNA from 1 species
AGGGCACCACCAGGAGUGGAGCCUGCGGCUUAAUUUGACUCAACACGGGGAAACUCACCCGGCCCGGACACCGGAAGGAUUGACAGAUUGAUAGCUCUUUCUUGAUUCGGUGGAUGGUGGUGCAUGGCCGUUCUUAGUUGGUGGAGCGAUCUGCCUGGUUAAUUCCGAUAACGAACGAGACUCUAGCCUAUUAAAUAGACGUUAGAUCCCUUCGUGGGUCUAUCGCAGCUUCUUAGAGGGACAGGCAGCGAUUCAGCCGCACGAAACAGAGCAAUAACAGGUCUGUGAUGCCCUUAGAUGUCCGGGGCCGCACGCGCGCUACACUGAAGGAAGCAGCGUGUAACAACCUUGUUCUAACGAACUGGGUAACCCGUGGAACUUCCUUCAUGAUUGGGAUAGGAGUUUGCAAUUGUGCCCCUUGAACGAGGAAUUCCCAGUAAACGCUAGUCAUAAGCUCGCGUUGAUUACGUCCCUGCCCUUUGUACACACCGCCCGUCGCUACUACCGAUUGAAUGGUUU